rnacentral:snRNA from 1 species
AUACUUACCUGGACGGGGUCAAUGGGCGAUCAAGAAGGUCCAUGGCCUAGGUCAGUGACGUCUAUUUGACUUGGAAUGGCUGCUGAGCAUUUCUUUCUCACUAGUUCUUUCCACUGGUCUUGCAUUUCUUCCUCACUAGU